GCUUCUUUGGUUCAGUGGCAGAAUGCUCGCCUGCCACGCGGGCGACCCGGCUUCGGCUCCCGGCAGAUGCA
rnacentral:tRNA from 1 species